GUAGGUGGCAAGCGUUGUCCGGAAUUAUUGGGCGUAAAGCGCGCGCAGGCGGGUUCUUUAAGUCGGAUGUGAAAGCCCACGGGCUCAACCGUGGAGGGUCAUUGGAAACUGGAGAACUUGAGUACAGAAGAGGAAAGCGGAAUUCCACGUGUAGCGGUGAAAUGCGUAGAGAUGUGGAGGAACACCAGUGGCGAAGGCGGCUUUCUGGUCUGUAACUGACGCUGAGGCGCGAAAGCGUGGGGAGCAAACAGGAUUAGAUACCCUGGUAGUCCACGCCGUAAACGAUGAGUGCUAAGUGUUAGGGGGUUUCCGCCCCUUAGUGCUGCAGCUAACGCAUUAAGCACUCCGCCUGGGGAGUACGGCCGCAAGGCUG
rnacentral:rRNA from 1 species